rnacentral:rRNA from 1 species
GUAGGUGGCAAGCGUUGUCCGGGAAUUAUUGGGGCGUAAAGCGCGCGCAGGCGGUUCUUUAAGUCUGAUGUGAAAGCCCACGGGCUCAACCGUGGAGGGUCAUUGGAAACUGGAGAACUUGAGUACAGAAGAGGAAAGCGGAAUUCCACGUGUAGCGGUGAAAUGCGUAGAGAUGUGGAGGAACACCAGUGGCGAAGGCGGCUUUCUGGUCUGUAACUGACGCUGAGGCGCGAAAGCGUGGGGAGCAAACAGGAUUAGAUACCCUGGUAGUCCACGCCGUAAACGAUGAGUGCUAAGUGUUGGGGGGUUUCCGCCCCUUAGUGCUGCAGCUAACGCAUUAAGCACUCCGCCUGGGGAGUACGGCCGCAAAGGCUGA